GCCUGGGUGGCUCAGUCAGUUGAGUGUCUGACUUCAGCUCAGGUCACGAUCCCACAGUUCAUGGGUUUGAGCCUCAUGUCGGGCU
rnacentral:tRNA from 1 species